AUUCUGAGCAAGUGAAAUAUAUAAACCCCCAUAGACAAGCCAUGCCCAGCAGCUGCCGGCAAAAUUUUUUCUUACAACCACUUUUGGGACCUUAUGACUGUCCCAGGACUUUAUGUUCAGUCUCACUGCACAUAGAACUCUAUUUUUCAUGGCUCACCAAGUGCAGUAACCUUCUUCAUAUUCUGCUUCCUUUAAAGUACUAUGACUGCAGAUCAGUUCCAAACAGGCAGGGGAUACAAGUCCCAAAUUUAAAACCAAAGGCAAUUUUAGUAUUUCCUUUUCCACAUUUAAUUCAAGAAAGUCUCCAUAGGUUCAGGUAGGAGCAACACAAUAUCUGCAAGCUUUUUGAGGGAAGGGCAAACCCUUCUCUGCCUAAUUUCUAUUGUCUGAAGGGCUCCUUUCAUAGCACCCAAAGCAGAGGCACAAUGAAGGAGGCAUGUUCCAAGGGAACUGUCUGGAUUUGAAAAAGACAUAAAAGAUAGGCACUCCUACAUAGGUACUCACCCAAGGGCACACUUUGCAAAUGAGAGUAUAAAUGGUUAAAAACAACAUGUAAUGUGUUCUGCUUACGGGACGCUGUUUUCCUGAUGCUAACCAAAUAGCCCCAUUUUGCUGAGAAGGGAAUUGGCAUAAGCUGGAAGAAUAAGCACUUUAUGCCAUUUUAACAUAAUUUCCAGUUUUCUCAAUGUACAAUACAUUCAGCUAGCCUCCUCCCUCUCCCUUUUCCCAUGCCUUCUCAAAACCCAGCCCUGACUGAGUAGAAAUUUAACUGCUUCCGCUGUUGUGGUUCUGCCUUUAAUUGCACUAGAAUCAUAGAAAAAUAGGGUUAGAAGGGAAUUUGGGAGGUCAUCUGGUUCAACCCUCUGCCUUGUCAAGGUAGAAUCAUCCCUAUCACGCAUUCUAUAAUUUAUCCACUGCCCUCUUUCUUAGGGUUUUUAUGUAGCACCCAUCACUAUGUUUUCUAAAUACUUGGUUAUCUAGAGUAAGUUCAGUUUAAUUUGUAAUGAACUUCUCCAAGGAAUGGCUUAUUCAUUGUGCUUUGUAAUGUGGUAGGCACAUCUGUGAACUUCUGUCAAUAAUUGUAGGAAAAAAAAUGGGGCAUGUGACCCAAGAUUGUACUUAGCAAUCUAAGGGCAAAAAACAUGAGUUCACAUUGAUAUAAUAAGCAAGAAAUGUCUAUGUUUUGCAGAUGUCCUAUUGGAAGGAGAUGUAAAACUUCAACUUAGUGCAUGCACAGAA